rnacentral:rRNA from 1 species
GUUAAGGUGGUGCGCGGAGCGGCGGGAAGACGACCCGGGCAAACGUUGUUGGGAAUCACUGGGCUUAAAGGGCGCGGAGGCGGGGGACCAAGUCCGGGGUGAAAUCUUUCGGCUUAACCGGAAAAGGGCCUUGGAUACUGGUGCUCUAGAGGGAGGUAGGGGUCUGUGGAACUUCUGGUGGAGCGGUGAAAUGCGUUGAUAUCAGAAGGAACGCCGGUGGCGAAAGCGACGGACUGGAUCUCUUCUGACGCUGAUGCGCGAAAGCCAGGGGAGCAAACGGGAUUAGAUACCCUGGUAGUC